rnacentral:rRNA from 1 species
GACGAACGCUGUCGGCGUGCUUAACACAUGCAAGUCGAACGGAAAGGCCCUGCUUUUGUGGGGUGCUCGAGUGGCGAACGGGUGAGUAACACGUGAGUAACCUGCCCUUGACUUUGGGAUAACUUCAGGAAACUGGGGCUAAUACCGGAUAGGAGCUCCUGCUGCAUGGUGGGGGUUGGAAAGUUUCGGCGGUUGGGGAUGGACUCGCGGCUUAUCAGCUUGUUGGUGGGGUAGUGGCUUACCAAGGCUUUGACGGGUAGCCGGCCUGAGAGGGUGACCGGCCACAUUGGGACUGAGAUACGGCCCAGACUCCUACGGGAGGCAGCAGUGGGGAAUAUUGCACAAUGGGCGGAAGCCUGAUGCAGCAACGCCGCGUGCGGGAUGACGGCCUUCGGGUUGUAAACCGCUUUCGCCUGUGACGAAGCGUGAGUGACGGUAAUGGGUAAAGAAGCACCGGCUAACUACGUGCCAGCAGCCGCGGUGAUACGUAGGGUGCGAGCGUUGUCCGGAUUUAUUGGGCGUAAAGGGCUCGUAGGUGGUUGAUCGCGUCGGAAGUGUAAUCUUGGGGCUUAACCCUGAGCGUGCUUUCGAUACGGGUUGACUUGAGGAAGGUAGGGGAGAAUGGAAUUCCUGGUGGAGCGGUGGAAUGCGCAGAUAUCAGGAGGAACACCAGUGGCGAAGGCGGUUCUCUGGGCCUUUCCUGACGCUGAGGAGCGAAAGCGUGGGGAGCGAACAGGCUUAGAUACCCUGGUAGUCCACGCUGUAAACGGUGGGUACUAGGUGUGGGGUCCAUUCCACGGGUUCCGUGCCGUAGCUAACGCUUUAAGUACCCCGCCUGGGGAGUACGGCCGCAAGGCUAAAACUCAAAGGAAUUGACGGGGCCCCGCACAAGCGGCGGAGCAUGCGGAUUAAUUCGAUGCAACGCGUAGAACCUUACCUGGGUUUGGCAUGGAUCGGGAGCGCUCAGAGAUGGGUGUGCCUCUUUUGGGGUCGGUUCACAGGUGGUGCAUGGCUGUCGUCAGCUCGUGUCGUGAGAUGUUGGGUUAAGUCCCGCAACGAGCGCAACCCUUGUUCACUGUUGCCAGCACGUUAUGGUGGGGACUCAGUGGAGACCGCCGGGGUCAACUCGGAGGAAGGUGGGGAUGACGUCAAGUCAUCAUGCCCCUUAUGUCCAGGGCUUCACGCAUGCUACAAUGGCUGGUACAGAGAGUGGCGAGCCUGUGAGGGUGAGCGAAUCUCGGAAAGCCGGUCUCAGUUCGGAUUGGGGUCUGCAACUCGACCUCAUGAAGUCGGAGUCGCUAGUAAUCGCAGAUCAGCAACGCUGCGGUGAAUACGUUCCCGGGGCU